rnacentral:rRNA from 1 species
AUACGGAGGGUGCAAGCGUUAUUCGGAAUCACUGGGCGUAAAGGACGCGUAGGCGGGUUGGCAAGUCAGAUGUGAAAUCCUACAGCUUAACUGUAGAACUGCAUUUGAAACUGCUAACCUAGAGUAUGGGAGGGGGAGAUGGAAUUAGUGGUGCAGGGGUAAAAUCCGUAGAUAUCACUAGGAAUACCGAAAGCGAAGGCGAUCUCCUGGAACAUAACUGACGCUAAGGCGUGAAAGCGUGGGGAGCAAACAGGAUUAGAAACCCCAGUAGUCC